AACGCUGGCGGCGUGCCUAAUACAUGCAAGUCGAACGGCUUUUCUAUGGAAGCUUGCUUCCAACUGAGAAGAUAGUGGCGAACGGGUGAGUAACACGUGGGUAACCUGCCCAUAAGAGGGGGAUAACAUCGGAAACGGGUGCUAAUACCGCAUAGUUUUCUUGAUCGCAUGAUCGGGAAAGGAAAGACGGCCUUUGUGCUGUCGCUUAUGGAUGGACCCGCGGCGUAUUAGUUAGUUGGUGAGGUAACGGCUCACCAAGACGAUGAUACGUAGCCGACCUGAGAGGGUGAUCGGCCACAUUGGGACUGAGACACGGCCCAAACUCCUACGGGAGGCAGCAGUAGGGAAUCUUCCGCAAUGGACGAAAGUCUGACGGGAGCAACGCCGCGUGAGUGAAGAAAGGUUUUCGGAUCGUAAAACUCUGUUGUCAGAGAAGAACAAGUUGGAGAGUAACUGCUCCAGCCUUGACGGUAUCUGACCAGAAAGCCACGGCUAACUACGUGCCAGCCGCAGC
rnacentral:rRNA from 1 species